rnacentral:tRNA from 1 species
GGGUUGUUAGCUCAGUUGGUAGAGCAGCGGACUCUUAAUCCGUAGGUCGAAGGUUCGAGCCCCUCACAACCCA